AGUGAACGCUGGCGGUAGGCCUAACACAUGCAAGUCGAACGGCAUCCCUGGAGAGCUUGCUCUCUGGGCUGCGAGUGGCGGACGGGUGAGGAAUACAUCGGAAUCUACUCUGUCGUGGGGGAUAACGUAGGGAAACUUACGCUAAUACCGCAUACGACCUACGGGUGAAAGCAGGGGACCUUCGGGCCUUGCGCGAUUGAAUGAGCCGAUGUCGGAUUAGCUAGUUGGCGGGGUAAAGGCCCACCAAGGCGACGAUCCGUAGCUGGUCUGGGAGGAUGAGCAGCCACACUGGAACGGAGACACGGUCGAGACUCCUACGGGAGGCAGCAGUGGGGAAUAUUGGACAAUGGGCGCAAGCCUGAUCCAGCCAUACCGCGUGGGUGAAGAAGGCCUUCGGGUUGUAAAGCCCUUUUGUUGGGAAAGAAAUCCAGCUGGCUAAUACCCGGUUGGGAUGACGGUACCCAAAGAAUAAGCACCGGCUAACUUCGUGCCAGCAGCCGCAGUAA
rnacentral:rRNA from 1 species